rfam:Capsicum annuum cultivar Zunla-1 chromosome 10, whole genome shotgun sequence
AGCCACGCGAUGCACAGAUAGCGAACUACUCUUUUGCCUUUUACUAAAGAAUACCGUGUGUACGUUGCAAAUAGGCCGGGGUCUAUCGGAAAUAGCCUCUCCACUUCUUCGGAGGUAGA